AUUGAACGCUGGCGGCAUGCCUUACACAUGCAAGUCGAACGGCAGCACGGGGCAACCUGGUGGCGAGUGGCGAACGGGUGAGUAAUGCAUCGGAACGUACCUUUCAGUGGGGGAUAACGUAGCGAAAGUUACGCUAAUACCGCAUAUUCUGUGAGCAGGAAAGCAGGGGAUCGCAAGACCUUGCGCUGAUUGAGCGGCCGAUGUCAGAUUAGCUAGUUGGUGAGGUAAAGGCUCACCAAGGCGACGAUCUGUAGCGGGUCUGAGAGGAUGAUCCGCCACUAUGGAACUGAGACACGGUCCAGACUCCUACGGGCGGCAGCAGUGUGGAAUUUUGGACAGUUGGGGCAACCCUGGUCCAGCCAUGCCGCGUGAGUGAAGAAGGCCUUCGGGUUUUAAAGCUCUUUCGGCCGGGAAGAAAUCGCACGGGCUAAUACCCUGUGUGGAUGACGGUACCGGAAUAAGAAGCACCGGCUAACUACGUGCCAGCCGCCGCCGUAAUAC
rnacentral:rRNA from 1 species